AAUAUUGGACAAUGGGGGAAACCCUGAUCCAGCAAUACCGCGUGUGUGAAGAAGGCCUGCGGGUUGUAAAGCACUUUCAGUGGGGAGGAAGGGUUAUCCUUCAAUAGAGGGUAAUUUUGACGUUACCCACAGAAGAAGCACCGGCUAACUCUGUGCCAGCAGCCGCGGUAAUACAGAGGGUGCGAGCGUUAAUCGGAAUCACUGGGCGUAAAGCGUGCGUAGGCGGUUUGGUAAGUUAGGUGUGAAAGCCCCGGGCUCAACCUGGGAACUGCAUUUAAUACUGCCAGGCUAGAGUACAGUAGAGGAGAGUGGAAUUUCCGGUGUAGCGGUGAAAUGCGUAGAUAUCGGAAGGAACACCAGUGGCGAAGGCGACUCUCUGGACUGAUACUGACGCUGAGGCACGAAAGCGUGGGGAGCGAACAGGAUUAGAUACCCUGGUAGUCCACGCCGUA
rnacentral:rRNA from 1 species